rnacentral:rRNA from 1 species
CGCCUCUUGCAAACAACAAAUAAGAGGUCCCGCCUGCCCUGUGACUAUAUGUUUAACGGCCGCGGUAUUUUGACCGUGCGAAGGUAGCGCAAUCACUUGUCCUUUAAAUGGGGACCUGUAUGAAUGGCACAACGAGGGCUUAACUGUCUCCUCUUUCAAGUCAAUGAAAUUGAUCUCUCCGUGCAGAAGCGGAGAUACUACCAUAAGACGAGAAGACCCUGUGGAGCUUUAGACACCAAAACAGACCAUGUUAAAGACCCUAAAACAAAAGAUUAAACUCAAUGCCCCCUGACUUGAUGUCUUCGGUUGGGGUGACCGAGGAGAAGAACACAACCUCCAUGCGGAAUAGGAGUACUACUCCCACAAUCACGAACCCCCGUUCUAAUUACCAGAAUUUCUGACCCUAUGAUCCGGCAACGCCGAUUAACGAACCAAGUUACCCCAGGGAUAACAGCGCAAUCCCCUUUUAGAGCCCCUAUCAACAAGGGGGUUUACGACCUCGAUGUUGGAUCAGGACAUCCUAAUGGCGCAGCCGCUAUUAAGGGUUCGUUUGUUCAACGAUUAAAGUCCU